GCUGGGUGUGGUGGCCCAUGCCUGUAAUCCCAACACUUUGGGAGGCCGAGGCAGGUGGUUCACUUGAGGUCAGGAGUUCGAGACUAGCCUGACCAACAUGGUGAAACCCCGUCUCUA
ensembl:misc_RNA Metazoa_SRP Metazoan signal recognition particle RNA